UUGUGUAUCCCAAAGAAGAAAGGGGGGUUGGGGUUUAGGGACCUUCACAGUUUUAACCAUGCCAUGUUAGCAAAACGGUGUUGGCGACUUCUCCAUAACUCAGAUUCUUUAUGUGCGCAAGUUCUUCGUGCUAAAUAUUACCCAGAUGUUAAUUUACUUAAAGCUGGUCCUUAGAAGGGAUCAUCUUACACUUGGCAAAGCAUUGCGGCAGGCAUUCAAACUUUCCAGCGAGGAUGUAUUUGGAGGGUUGGUUCUGGAACACACAUAAACAUUUGUUAG
rnacentral:rRNA from 1 species